UAUUCAUAAAUCUGGUCGUUUCACCGUCACGUGCGUAUUGUAUUUUUACCAAAUCCACCAAUAGCAAUUUCCAGUUUCCCUAUUGUUCGAGUCACGGAUAGGUGACUUUCCUAAAACAUUGCUAUUGGUUAGUUGGGCAAAAAUACAAUACACACGUGACGGUGAAGGACCAGAUUGAUGAAUAAACGUUGACCAACAUAGAUAAUGAGUUCUAUUGUUAUUCUAAUGAGUUUCACAGCCAUCUUCCCUUCGAUAGGCU